rnacentral:tRNA from 1 species
GUAUAGCUCAGGGGUAGAGUAUUGGACUGCAGAUCCAACAGGACACCAGUUCAAAUACAGAUAACCCCU